GAUGAACGCUGGCGGCGUGCCUAAUACAUGCAAGUCGAGCGAACAGAUGAGGAGCUUGCUCCUCUGACGUUAGCGGCGGACGGGUGAGUAACACGUGGAUAACCUACCUAUAAGACUGGGAUAACUUCGGGAAACCGGAGCUAAUACCGGAUAAUAUAUUGAACCGCAUGGUUGAAUAGUGAAAGACGGUUUUGCUGUCACUUAUAGAUGGAUCCGCGCCGCAUUAGCUAGUUGGUAAGGUAACGGCUUACCAAGGCAACGAUGCGUAGCCGACCUGAGAGGGUGAUCGGCCACACUGGAACCGAGACACGGUCCACACUCCUACGGGAGGCAGCAGUCGGGAAUCUUCCGCAAAGGUCGAAAGCCUGACGGAGCGCCGCCGCGUGAGUGAUGAAGGUCUUCGGAUCGUAAAUCUCUGUUAUUAGGGAAGAACAAAUGUGUAAGUAACUAUGCACGUCUUGACGGUACCUAAUCAGAAAGCCCCGGCUAACUACGUG
rnacentral:rRNA from 1 species